GAGUUUGAUCAUGGCUCAGGAUGAACGCUGGCGGUAUGCUUAACACAUGCAAGUCGAACGGUCCUUUCGGGGAUAGUGGCGGACGGGUGAGUAACGCGUGAGAAUCUGCCUUCAGGACGGGGACAACAGCUGGAAACGGCUGCUAACACCCGAUGUGCCGAGAGGUGAAAUAUUUAUAGCCUGAAGAUGAGCUCGCGUCUGAUUAGCUAGUUGGUUGGGUAAUGGCCGACCAAGGCAUCGAUCAGUAACUGGUCUGAGAGGAUGACCAGUCACACUGGGACUGAGACACGGCCCAGACUCCUACGGGAGGCAGCAGUGGGGAAUUUUCCGCAAUGGGCGCAAGCCUGACGGAGCAAUACCGCGUGAGGGAGGAAGGCUCUUGGGUUGUAAACCUCUUUUCUCUGGGAAGAACACAAUGACGGUACCAGAGGAAUCAGCAUCGGCUAACUCCGUGCCAGCAGCCGCGGUAAUACGGAGGAUGCAAGCGUUAUCCGGAAUUAUUGGGCGUAAAGCGUCCGCAGAUGGUUUUGAAAGUCUAUUGUCAAAGCGCGGAGCUCAACUUCGUACAGGCAGUGGAAACUACAUGACUAGAGUUCGGUAGGGG
rnacentral:rRNA from 1 species